CUCCUACGGGUGGCAGCAGUCGAGGAUCUUCGGCAAUGGGCGCAAGCCUGACCGAGCGACGCCGCGUGCGGGAUGAAGGCCUUCGGGUUGUAAACCGCUGUCAGAGGGGAACAAAUUUUGAGUGAACCUCAGAGGAAGCCCGGGCUAAGUUCGUGCCAGCAGCCGCGGUAACACGAACCGGGCAAACGUUAUUCGGAAUUACUGGGCUUAAAGGGUGCGUAGGCGGCGCUAUAAGUCGGGUGUGAAAUACCUCGGCCCAACCGAGGAAUUGCGCCCGAUACUGUAGUGCUUGAGGAAGGCAGAGGUGAGUGGAACUAGCAGUGGAGCGGUGAAAUGCGUUGAUAUUGCUGGGAACACCAGUGGCGAAGGCGGCUCACUGGGCCUUUUCUGACGCUGAGGCACGAAAGCUAGGGUAGCGAACGGGAUUAGAUACCCCGGUAGUCCUAGCUGUAAACGAUGAGCACUAGAUCGAGGGGACUCCCACAUCCUCUCGGUCGUAGCGAAAGUGUUAAGUG
rnacentral:rRNA from 1 species